rnacentral:rRNA from 1 species
GGGGAAUAUUGCACAAUGGGCGCAAGCCUGAUGCAGCACCGCCGCGUGAGGGAAGACGGUUUUCGGAUUGUAACCCUUUGUCUUUGGUGAAGAAGAAAGUGACGGUAACCAAGGAGGCAGCCACGGCUAACUACGUUCCAGCAGCCGCGGUAAUACGUAGGUGGCAAGCGUUGUCCGGAAUUACUGGGUGUAAAGGGAGCGCAGGCGGGACUGCAAGUUGGAUGUGAAAUACCGAGGCUCAACCUCGGAGCUGCAUCCAAAACUGUAGUUCUUGAGUGAAGUAGAGGUAGGCGGAAUUCCGAGUGUAGCGGUGAAAUGCGUAGAUAUUCGGAGGAACACCAGUGGCGAAGGCGGCCUACUGGGCUUUAACUGACGCUGAGGCUCGAAAGUGUGGGGAGCAAACAGGA